CACGUAGGCACCAAGCGUUGUCCGGAUUUAUUGGGCGUAAAGAGCUCGUAGGCGGUUCAGUAAGUCGGGUGUGAAAACUCUGGGCUCAACCCAGAGACGCCACCCGAUACUGCUGUGACUUGAGUACGGUAGGGGAGUGGGGAAUUCCUGGUGUAGCGGUGAAAUGCGCAGAUAUCAGGAGGAACACCGGUGGCGAAGGCGGGUCUCUGGGCAAUAACUGACGCUGAGGAGCGAAAGCGUGGGGAGCGAACAGG
rnacentral:rRNA from 1 species